rnacentral:sRNA from 1 species
GCCGGGCGCAGUGAUGUACAUCUGUAAUCCCAGUGACUCGGGAGGCUGAGGCAGGAGGAUCUAAAGUUCAAAGUAAGCCUCAGCAACUUGGCAAGGCCUGAAGCAACUCAGUGAGAUCCUGUCUCAA